GUGGUUACUGCAGCAACACAUAUACUCAAAGAAGAAUGAAACAGAAAAGAUUGAGUAUGGCGCUGUACAAGGAUAGUACUACAUAAGUAUUACAUAAGAUCUUUUUUUUUCAUUUUU
rnacentral:snRNA from 1 species